CCUACGGGCGGCUGCAGUGAGGAAUAUUGGGCAAUGGGCGCAAGCCUGACCCAGCAACGCCGCGUGGAGGACGACGGCCUUUGGGUUGUAAACUCCUUUUGUCGGGGAAGAGGAAGGACGGUACCCGGCGAAUCAGUCACGGCUAACUACGUGCCAGCAGCCGCGGUCAUACGUAGGUGACAAGCGUUAUCCGGAAUUACUGGGCGUAAAGCGCACGCAGGCGGCUGAUCAAGUCUGACGUGAAAUCUCCCGGCUUAACUGGGAGGGGGCGUUGGAAACUGGUGGGCUUGAGGUGGUGAGAGGGGUGUGGAAUGCCCGGUGUAGUGGUGGAAUGCGUAGAUAUCGGGAGGAACACCAGUGGCGAAAGCGGCACCCUGGCACUGACCUGACGCUCAUGUGCGAAAGCGUGGGGAGCAAACGGGAUUAGAUACCCCGGUAGUC
rnacentral:rRNA from 1 species